AGCGAACGCUGGCGGCAGGCUUAACACAUGCAAGUCGAGCGGGCCCUUCGGGGUCAGCGGCCGACGGGUGAGUAACACGUGGGAACGUACCCUUUGGUUCGGAAUAACGCUGGGAAACUAGCGCUAAUACCGGAUACGCCCUUUUGGGGAAAGGCUUGCUGCCGAAGGAUCGGCCCGCGUCUGAUUAGCUAGUUGGUGGGGUAAUGGCCUACCAAGGCGACGAUCAGUAGCUGGUCUGAGAGGAUGAUCAGCCACACUGGGACUGAGACACGGCCCAGACUCCUACGGGAGGCAGCAGUGGGGAAUAUUGGACAAUGGGCGCAAGCCUGAUCCAGCCAUGCCGCGUGAGUGAUGAAGGCCUUAGGGUUGUAAAGCUCUUUGGUCCGGGACGAUAAUGACGGUACCGGAAGAAUAAGCCCCGGCUAACUUCGUG
rnacentral:rRNA from 1 species